GAUGAACGCUGGCGGCGUGCCAAUACAUGCCAGUCGAGCGAACAGACGAGGAGCUUGCUCCUCUGACGUUAGCGGCGGACGGGUGAGUAACACGUGGAUAACCUACCUAUAAGACUGGGAUAACUUCGGGAAACCGGAGCUAAUACCGGAUAAUAUAUUGAACCGCAUGGUUCAAUAGUGAAAGACGGUUUUGCUGUCACUUAUAGAUGGAUCCGCGCCGCAUUAGCUAGUUGGUAAGGUAACGGCUUACCAAGGCAACGAUGCGUAGCCGACCUGAGAGGGUGAUCGGCCACACUGGAACUGAGACACGGUCCAGACUCCUACGGGAGGCAGCAGUAGGGAAUCUUCCGCAAUGGGCGAAAGCUUGACGGAGCAACGCCGCGUGAGUGAUGAAGGUCUUCGGAUCGUAAAACUCUGUUAUUAGGGAAGAACAAAUGUGUAAGUAACUAUGCACGUCUUGACGGUACCUAAUCAGAAAGCCACGGCUAACUACGUG
rnacentral:rRNA from 1 species